rnacentral:rRNA from 1 species
CAGCAGUAGCCACGGGAAUACGGAGGGUGCAAGCGUUAAUCGGAAUUACUGGGCGUAAAGCGCACGCAGGCGGUCUGUCAAGUCGGAUGUGAAAUCCCCGGGCUCAACUCGAAGUCUGCACCGAAAACUGCCGGGCUUGAGUAUGGGAGAGGUGAGUGGAAUUUCCGGUGUAGCGGUGAAAUGCGUAGAUAUCGGAAGGAACACCUGUGGCGAAAGCGGCUCACUGGACCAUUACUGACGCUGAGGCGCGAAAGCUAGGGGAGCAAACAGGAUUAGAUACCCCAGUAGUCCCUGUCUCUUAUAC